AGGCAAGAAUGAAAAGGAAAUUGGCCGAUGCAAAGAAACUGGGAAGAUCCAUGUGACAGUUAAUCUCAAAUACUACAGGCCAACUGAAGUGGACUUUCUUCAAGGUGAUUGUACCAAAGCGAAGCAGAAACUCAAGUGGAAACCAAGAGUCACUUUUGACGAGCUGGUCAAGGAGAUGGUGAACGCAGACGUGGAACUUAUGAGGACCAACCCCAAUGCCUGAGUCUUCUCCGACACCUCUCGUAGAAAGUCGUGACUUCAGUGCCAGUGACAAGGCCGGGUUCUACAUUUCCAAGAUGCCGCUGACCAGCUGGGGGUGACAAUGGGUAUUAAUGGGUAUCAGAUGAUUUGCAGCUAUUUCACUUUCCUGUGUGCGACAGAUCAAUUAUCUCCCCCCCCCAAUCUAAACCAUGCAUUGACUUUACACUCCUUGUAGAGGUAGACUGAAGCAAUGGUGUGUGUUUUUUCUCCUGAUCAAAAAAGAAAUUCUGAAAUAUGCAGCCAGAUGCUAGCCGGCUACUC